GCAGCCUCUUCACUCUCACCGUGGAGCAGAAGCUGGAGGAUGGCAGGCGCCAGCGCUCAGCUCUCAGGAUCCUGGCAUCCCCUGGGGCCCCCAGGCCCUGCCCUGAGCCGUACAUACAAGAGCUGCAUCUCUGCACUGGGGCUGAGCUGGAUCCCCUCUUUGGCACCCAUGUGGUGCCUGCUGUAGGGUCAGGGGGGAUUUGGUACCCAGAGGUGAAGCAGGAGAGACCUGGACACCCCAACGGGAGCCUGUGGCUGGGAGCCAAGGGGUUGCUACCACCCCUUGGGAUGUGGGCUUGCUCCCAGUGCGGCUAACCCAUCCUCAGGCUCUCAUAGGUCAGGGCUUUCUGCUCUCCCAGACACCUCCAGAGAAGAGAUCGUGGCAUCCCUGGGGUUGGCUAAGCGGGUAAGGUGCUGGACAAGAGGAUCUCAGCCACCCUCUGGGACCCGGUGCAAGAGAUUGCAGCACGUCAAAGGGAGAUCUGAGGGCUGCGGAUGGAGCUGCUGGCUGGAGCUGGCCUCCCUGAGCAGAAGAUGGCUGUGGCCCAGCUGCGGAGAGCCCUGUGGGAGCUGCAGGUGCUGAAGAGCCAAAGGUGGGAGGAGAAGCAGGCAGCAGCUGAGGUGCUUAGGACAAGUCAGAUGUGCCAGCCCAGUGCCAAGGUGGGCACAGGUUGAUGCAGGGAAUACAGCACCAGGCCAGCAGCCUAGGACCCAAACACCCCAACCAGUGCCAGCUGGAGCCAGCACGUCUGGAGCAUGGGGACAGGCGCACACCCCACGCCUGGGUGGCUGAUAUGUGGGCAGAGAGCAUCACUUCACAUGGUGGGAAACAGCUUCACUCAAGAGGCCUCAGUCAUUCAUUUAAACUGGCUCAUGAACCUCAGUGGUUCAUUUAAACUGGCUUCUUCAGCCAUACCACAUCACUCUCAUUCUGCUUCCCUCUCCCCACCCAGGAAUGGUGCCAGAAAGAGCAGCCAGGGAGGGGACAACCAAGACUUGGGGAGCACAGGGCAGAGCUCACUGGAGGAGCACUUGCAGAGCAAAGCGCCACAGCCAUGGCCACAGACUGGAGAUGACACAGUAAGUGGGACCCCACUGGUGGCCUGGCUGCUGCUCCCAGGCAGGGGGAACACCCAGUGCCUGCAGUCUACUGCACCAGCAGCGCUGGGUCCCCAGGCUAUCCGAGCUGGCUCUGCUCUCCACCAGACAGGGAGUCAGAGCCAGCCAUGCCCAUCCCUGGAGGUCCAGUAUGCCAUGGCCAAGGCACAGAGGCAGCAGCUGUGGGCUCAGCACUGCCUGCUCCUCCAGC